rnacentral:rRNA from 1 species
CACGGGGGUUGCGAGCGUUGUCCGGAAUUACUAGGCGUAAAGGGCAGGCAGGCGGAUCCAUAAGUUUAUCGUUUAAGGCGUCGGCUUAACCGGCGUAGGGCGGUAGAUACUGUGGAUCUGGAAUGCGGUUGGGGAAGACAGAAUUCCUGGUGUAGUGGUGGAAUGCGCAGAGAUCAGGAGGAAUACCGAAGGCGAAGGCAGUCUUCCAAGCCGUUAUUGACCUCAACUGCGAAGGUGUGGGUAUCAAACAGGAUUAGAUACCCCUGUAGUCCCUGA